rnacentral:rRNA from 1 species
UAACUGAAUACAUAGGUUAACAGAGCAAACCGGGGGAACUGAAACAUCUAAGUACCCCGAGGAGAAGAAAUCAACCGAGAUUCCGGUAGUAGCGGCGAGCGAACCUGGAUUAGCCCUUAAGCACUCGGUGAAGUAGGUGAACAAGCUGGAAAGCUUGGCGAUACAGGGUGAUAGCCCCGUAACCGACGCUUCAUCGAGCGUGAAAUCGAGUAGGGCGGGACACGUGAUAUCCUGUCUGAAUAUGGGGGGACCAUCCUCCAAGGCUAAAUACUCCUGACUGACCGAUAGUGAACCAGUACCGUGAGGGAAAGGCGAAAAGAACCCCUGUGAGGGGAGUGAAAUAGAACCUGAAACCGUGUACGUACAAGCAGUAGGAGCACCUUCGUGGUGUGACUGCGUACCUUUUGUAUAAUGGGUCAGCGACUUAUAUUCAGUGGCAAGGUUAACCGUAUAGGGGAGCCGUAGCGAAAGCGAGUCUUAACUGGGCGCUCAGUCUCUGGAUAUAGACCCGAAACCGGGUGAUCUAGCCAUGGGCAGGUUGAAGGUUGAGUAACAUCAACUGGAGGACCGAACCGACUAAUGUUGAAAAAUUAGCGGAUGACUUGUGGCUAGGGGUGAAAGGCCAAUCAAACUCGGAGAUAGCUGGUUCUCCCCGAAAGCUAUUUAGGUAGCGCCUCGGACGAAUACUACUGGGGGUAGAGCACUGUUAAGGCUAGGGGGUCAUCCCGACUUACCAACCCUUUGCAAACUCCGAAUACCAGUAAGUACUAUCCGGGAGACACACGGCGGGUGCUAACGUCCGUCGUGGAGAGGGAAACAACCCAGACCGCCAGCUAAGGUCCCAAAGUAUUGCUAAGUGGGAAACGAUGUGGGAAGGCUCAGACAGCUAGGAUGUUGGCUUAGAAGCAGCCAUCAUUUAAAGAAAGCGUAAUAGCUCACUAGUCGAGUCGGCCUGCGCGGAAGAUGUAACGGGGCUAAGCAAUACACCGAAGCUGCGGCAAUGUCUUUUAGACAUUGGGUAGGGGAGCGUUCUGUAAGCCGUUGAAGGUGAAUCGUAAGGUUUGCUGGAGGUAUCAGAAGUGCGAAUGCUGACAUGAGUAACGACAAAGGGGGUGAAAAACCUCCUCGCCGGAAGACCAAGGGUUCCUGUCCAACGUUAAUCGGGGCAGGGUGAGUCGACCCCUAAGGUGAGGCCGAAAGGCGUAAUCGAUGGGAAACGGGUUAAUAUUCCCGUACUUCUGACUAUUGCGAUGGGGGGACGGAGAAGGCUAGGUGGGCCAGGCGACGGUUGUCCUGGUUCAAGUGCGUAGGCUUGAGAGUUAGGUAAAUCCGGCUCUCUCUAAGGCUGAGACACGACGUCGAGCUGCUACGGCAGUGAAGUCAUUGAUGCCAUGCUUCCAGGAAAAGCCUCUAAGCUUCAGAUAGUCAGGAAUCGUACCCCAAACCGACACAGGUGGUCGGGUAGAGAAUACCAAGGCGCUUGAGAGAACUCGGGUGAAGGAACUAGGCAAAAUGGUACCGUAACUUCGGGAGAAGGUACGCUCUUGAUGGUGAAGUCCCUCGCGGAUGGAGCUGACGAGAGUCGCAGAUACCAGGUGGCUGCAACUGUUUAUUAAAAACACAGCACUGUGCAAAAUCGCAAGAUGACGUAUACGGUGUGACGCCUGCCCGGUGCCGGAAGGUUAAUUGAUGGGGUUAGCGUAAGCGAAGCUCUUGAUCGAAGCCCCGGUAAACGGCGGCCGUAACUAUAACGGUCCUAAGGUAGCGAAAUUCCUUGUCGGGUAAGUUCCGACCUGCACGAAUGGCGUAAUGAUGGCCACGCUGUCUCCACCCGAGACUCAGUGAAAUUGAAAUCGCUGUGAAGAUGCAGUGUACCCGCGGCUAGACGGAAAGACCCCGUGAACCUUUACUACAGCUUGGCACUGAACAUUGAACCUACAU